rnacentral:rRNA from 1 species
UACGUAGGUGGCAAGCGUUGUCCGGAUUUACUGGGCGUAAAGAGCGCGCAGGCGGUCAUUCAAGUCGAGUGUGAAAGCCCCCGGCUCAACUGGGGAGGGUCACUCGAUACUGUUUGACUCGAAGGCGGGAGAGGGAAGUGGAAUUCCCGGUGUAGUGGUGAAAUGCGUAGAUAUCGGGAGGAACACCAGUGGCGAAGGCGACUUCCUGGCUCGUUCUUGACGCUGAGGCGCGAAAGCUAGGGGAGCAAACGGG